rnacentral:rRNA from 1 species
AUUGAACGCUGGCGGCAGGCCUAACACAUGCAAGUCGAACGGCAGCACAGAAGAGCUUGCUCUUUGGGUGGCGAGUGGCGGACGGGUGAGUAAUGUCUGGGAAACUGCCCGAUGGAGGGGGAUAACUACUGGAAACGGUAGCCAAUACCGCAUAACGUCGCAAGACCAAAGUGGGGGACCUUCGGGCCUCACACCACCGGAUGUGCCCAGAUGGGAUUAGCUAGUAGGUGGGGUAAUGGCUCACCUAGGCGACGAUCCCUAGCUGGUCUGAGAGGAUGACCAGCCACACUGGAACUGAGACACGGUCCAGACUCCUACGGGAGGCAGCAGUGGGGAAUAUUGCACAAUGGGCGCAAGCCUGAUGCAGCCGUGCCGCGUGUAUGAAGAAGGCCUUCGGGUUGUAAAGUACUUUCAGCGGGGAGGAAGGCGGUGAGGUUAAUAACCUCGCCGAUUGACGUUACCCGCAGAAGAAGCACCGGCUAACUCCGUGCCAGCAGCCGCCGUAA